UUUUUUGUUCACGUUAAAGGAUUUUCCUUAAAAGGUUUCAGUUCUGCGAUGGAGUUUACAGAUGAGGAGAAAAUAUGGCUGCAAAGAGUGUCUGCUGAAAUACCUGAAGGGAAUGAUCUCACUCCAAAGGAGAAGCAAUUCUGUGAGAAAGCAAAGCCAGAGACUGAAUUUCAGGCCCAGUUAUUCCAGGCUAUGGCCUCUAUACGAUUUGGACUGAAUGAUCCAAUAAGCUCAACCAUAGCAUUGAAAAACGCUGUCCACCAGAGAAGCAGCGUCUCGUCACAAUGCGGAUAAUCACCAGAUACUAGGUUAUUAAACUGAAUAUUCAGAAUCAAAUAAUCAAAAAUAAAA